rnacentral:lncRNA from 13 species
CCGACGGCGCGGUGCGGGCGGGCGGGAUGUGCGCGGUGCGGGCGGGACGGGCGAGGGUCUGAAGUGGCACCACCGCCGUCUGCGCCCCCCGCGCCGCCGCGCCGCCUUUCAUAGAGGGCGCUAUGCAAAUGAGCGGGCGGCCGAGCCAAUGGGAGGCGGCGCGGCGCGGGCGGCGGGCGGCCCCCGGCGCUCCCCGGGCCGGGCCGGGCGCGGGCGCGGGCGCGGGCGCGGGCGCGGGCGCGGGCGCGGGGUCGCGGAGCGCUCGCCUUUGUUUUCUUUAACUCUGCGGGGUCUGGGGGUCUUCUUUUAUUUUAUUUUCUUUUCUCUUUUUUCCUUUUCUUUUUUUCUUCCCCCGCACUGUCGCUAUUUCUUUUUCCCAAUUUAUUUCUUUCUUUUUUUCCCCUCCUUUCCUGCCCCUCCCGUCUCUCCCCUCUCUCCGGUGGCGCGGCAGCGGAGCUGGCGCGGGGAACACGGAGUGCAAUGCGCGGUGGGGUUUGUUAAUCCUGACACAGGGCCUCUCUGGGAAGCAACACCAGUCUCGUUCCAGAAGAACAAAAUAACAGCAUGAGGCUGAAACCUGGCACGAACCGGGGGGAACGAAACCAUCUGCCCCGCAAGGCACCAAGGCCCUGCGUGGAGCCCGCUCCCAGCCCCGCAGUGUCUCAGCAGCCAUGGGGAGGGCGGCUGCCGGCCUCGGCCCGCAGGGAGAAGACCUGACGGGGAGGGAAGAUGGGGGUCCUAAGGGGCAACUGCUUCCCCGGGAAACCGCAUGUCCCUUCCCUUCCCUUCCCUUCCCUUCCCUUCCCUUCCCUUCCCUUCCCUUCCCUUCCCUUCCCUUCCCUUCCCUCUUCCCAUGUCUCAGGGAACCCAAGAGAUGCAUUUUAAAGGAAGAGGGUGACAGAAUGCGGUCCGAUCCAACCCCGCUCCGGUUUCCUUGGAAAACCUGGGAUAAAGGCGCUGGGCUCGGCACACGGAGCGCGGUAGCAUCCCGGGGCUCCAUCCCGGGGUGCGCGGGGCGCUGCGCGGGGCGGCACGCGAGCGGGGGGCGGCGGGCUGCCCGCAGCGCCGGCUUAUGGAAAUAGGAUUUAAAUCGCUCCUCGGCCCUGGCUGCGGGGGCGCGGGGAGGGGGGCACGCUCCGCCGCCAACAAAAGCUCCCGGUUUCCAUACGAACAAACCUCCGCGGAGCUCUUUUCUCCUGCCCGCUGGAGCUCCGCAGGCGGCCGCCCGGCUGGGCGGAGAGCGUUCGGGCCGGGCCGCCCAGAGCCGGGCCGGUGUCCGGACCGGGCGGAGGUCCGAGGUGUAGAGACUGGGACCGGGCUGCCUGGGAACGGGGCCGCUGGCCGGGAGCGGGCAGUGGGCAGCGGGGCGGCCCCUCGUGUGUAACAGGAUUAUCUUUGCCAUUUCAAGUUCCAUACAGCAUGUAAUUUAUUUUUAAUUAGGAUUAGAUCGAGCAGGGAAGGAGACCAGACCUUUCCCCCACCUCCCCCUCCCUGCAAAGGCAUGGCUAUUUCACGAGGAGCUCUUAUUCUUUACAAAAAAACCAAUCAAUCGAUAAACCAGGACCUGUGUUCACCUCCCACACACUUUGCAGGAGAAAAGGGUGCAAAGGGCUGUAUUUUCAAUGUGUGCUCAAGUAUCUGAAUCAGAAAGAGGCUUGGAAAUCCUUCCUCUUUCCCAUCCACCCAGUCCCCCUCUCACAUCCUUUCGAUCCAAACCCGUUUUUAAGAGGUGGGGAUCCUGCAACAGGUCACAGUUGGGUCUUGCUCCUCAUGCCUUUUUCUAUUUUUUUUUUUUUUUUUUGGUGUGUGUUUUGUUUUAGAGGCCAAAUGCACUUUCUGCCUGCUUGGGUUAUUCCUUUUCUGCUAUUGUGACUUUGAUUUAAAAAAACCCUCCAAUGUAUCAGUCUCUGCUGGAGCAAAGCCUUCUCCCCAAUAGUUUGGAUAGAGUCCACCACAGAAAUGUUCUGAAAGGCUAGUGAAGAAUCUUGUUUCACAGCUCAAAAUAAACAUACGGAUCAGCUGCAUUAAAAGCACUUCUUUGAAAUAUUGUGGUUAAACAGCCCAGAUUGGUCGAUUGCUCCAUGCGGGGACAUAUGUUCUUGCAAACUGUGCGUAUUGUUACUAAUGGGGAUUCUCACACCACAGCCUUUCCUUUGAAUCUGAGGCACUGGUGGUUUCUCUGGAGCUGUUGCAAGGUUGUUUUAAUAAUUUACCAGCUCUCUUGCACUUAGUGUUGUUGCGGAGACUCAGAACGUGCAAAGAAGGAGGUGUUUUGCGGUGUCCAGAGGUCUGAGCUCUGCUGCCAAGCUCCAUUCUGUACCUAUUAGACACAGAAAUCAAAGCUGCUUCGAGAGAUGGGUGCCAGGCAAAGGAAAAAGCAAGGCUUCCUCAUGCAUCUCUGUGAACCUGGGUUCUUGGGUAAUGUGUUGUUCCUGAGGAGGGGGAGCACUCCUAGACCACCAGCCUGUUGCCAACAUCAAUCAAGUAAGUGAUCACUAGCAAAUCAUUCCAGGUUCCCUUUUUCAGCUUUAAACUUACUUCUUUCCCCCC